rnacentral:rRNA from 1 species
UUUAUUGGAGAGUUUGAUCCUGGCUCAGGAUGAACGCUGGCGGCGUGCCUAAUACAUGCAAGUCGAGCGAAUGGAUUGAGAGCUUGCUCUCAAGAAGUUAGCGGCGGACGGGUGAGUAACACGUGGGUAACCUGCCCAUAAGACUGGGAUAACUCCGGGAAACCGGGGCUAAUACCGGAUAAUAUUUUGAACUGCAUGGUUCGAAAUUGAAAGGCGGCUUCGGCUGUCACUUAUGGAUGGACCCGCGUCGCAUUAGCUAGUUGGUGAGGUAACGGCUCACCAAGGCAACGAUGCGUAGCCGACCUGAGAGGGUGAUCGGCCACACUGGGACUGAGACACGGCCCAGACUCCUACGGGAGGCAGCAGUAGGGAAUCUUCCGCAAUGGACGAAAGUCUGACGGAGCAACGCCGCGUGAGUGAUGAAGGCUUUCGGGUCGUAAAACUCUGUUGUUAGGGAAGAACAAGUGCUAGUUGAAUAAGCUGGCACCUUGACGGUACCUAACCAGAAAGCCACGGCUAACUACGUGCCAGCAGCCGCGGUAAUACGUAGGUGGCAAGCGUUAUCCGGAAUUAUUGGGCGUAAAGCGCGCGCAGGUGGUUUCUUAAGUCUGAUGUGAAAGCCCACGGCUCAACCGUGGAGGGUCAUUGGAAACUGGGAGACUUGAGUGCAGAAGAGGAAAGUGGAAUUCCAUGUGUAGCGGUGAAAUGCUUCGAGAUAUGAGGUGACACCAG